UAUUUAUUAAUUUGUUUGUCCUUUAUUAAUUUUUUUUGGGGGGGGAGAUUAGCCCUGAGCUAACAUCUGCUGCCAAUCCCCCUCUUUUUGCUGAGGAAGCCUCGCCCUGAGCUAACAUUCAUGCCCAUCUUCCUCUACUUUAUAUGUGGGAUGCCUACCACAGCAUGGCAUGCCAAGAGGUGCCAUGUCCGCACCCGGGAUCCGAACUGGUGAACCCCAGGCGGCCGAAGCUGAAUGUGUGCACUUAACUGCUGCGCCACCAGGCUGGCUCCAAUCCUUUAUUAUUAUUUAUUUCACUUAGCACAAUGUCUUCAAGGUUCGUCUAUGUUGUAGCAGGUGUCAGAAUUUUACCUUCCAGACUCAUCUCCCUCUGGGCCCUACCACCACCUUUGCUGUUCCAGCCAGGCUGAUCUGUUGUCUCCCAAAUAUGCCUUACACAUGCCUGCCUCUGACCCUUGGCUCAUUCCAUUUUUCCCUUCUGGAAUGUUCUUCCUUUGUUCUUACUUGCUCAAGCCCUGCUCCUGCCUUAGAGCUCGGCUCAAACCUGACGCCUUGGGGAAGCAUUCCUGAAUGACACCUUUAUCCCUGGAGGCGGCUUUCUCUCCCCUGGGUCCCACAGCACUUACAAUCUGCACCCAGCACUCAGGGCCAAUACCCUCUGCGAGCACCCAGCUUCCCAGCCACCCGCGGGCUCUUGCAGGAAGACCUGGUGUUGCUUCCGUGGGACACCUACUGAAAUCCCCACCAGGCCACGUGUGCUGCCGGUGCCUGAGAAGAAGAUGGGAACGGCAUGGAUCACAGCAUAAUUUGUCCCAAGCUCCCCCGGCACGUUCAGGCCACUUCAGUCGGCACUUACUGUGCCCACCAGCCCAGUCAGCGCUGGGGACAGCUUCAGCCUGAAGAGGGCACAGCUCAGCUCUGAAGACCAAGAGGCACCAGUUCAGACUCGAGCUGGGCCACUCAGUGGCUGUGGGACCCUGGUCAGCCUCGAUUUCUUCAUCUGUGAAGUGGGCAGACACUGUGGCCUUCUGGGGCAGUGGGAGUAGCUGCUGGAGACCCCGCGUGAAGUGUCUGCCAUGGUCCUGAACUCUGAAAGGUCGCAGUACGCUGCGGAAGUAGGCAAAUCCACUUUGAAAAACUGAAGACAAUCCAGCUGUGUACGAAGGAAAAUAUAAAAGCUCCUCUCUCCUCCACUCGCCCCCCGGCAGCCCCUGGAGAAGAAACCAGGCCAGGAAGAAAUUGUCGGUCUUAGAAAAAGAACUUUUUUUCCACAGCUAGAUUCCACCCAAAGGAAGUUGGCCUCGUGGCUCUUGACGCCCUGUCCUCUCUCAUUUCUGUCACUGUACUUGUCCUCAACAAGGAUGGUUUCUGCCUGGUACGGUCCCCCAGCUCCAGUUACUCCCCCGUGCUUACGGCCUGGCCGUGUUCACAGCUCUGGUGGGAUGGCUCCUGUCCACAGGACGCCCACGGUCCCCACACCGGAAGGCCUGCUCCACCCCCCAGGGGCUGCCCAGCGUCCACAGCUGACCUCAGCCCUUCCUUCCCGGAGGCCUUGCCUCUCCUGGACUCUGACCCACACGUGGCCUGGGUCAAAGCCUGCAUUCAGCAGCCACUGGAACUUCCCACCUGGAAAGGCUGGAUUGAA
rnacentral:lncRNA from 1 species